rnacentral:rRNA from 1 species
GUAAGGAAUAUUGGUCAAUGGACGAAAGUCUGAACCAGCCAUGCCGCGUGGAGGAUGAAGGUCCUCUGGAUUGUAAACUUCUUUUAUAUGGGACGAAAAUGGGGCUUUCUAGCUCAACUGACGGUACCAUAUGAAUAAGCACCGGCUAACUCCGUGCCAGCAGCCGCGGUAAUACGGAGGGUGCAUGCGUUAUCCGGAUUCACUGGGUUUAAAGGGUGCGUAGGUGGAUUGGUAAGUCAGAGGUGAAAUCUCCGGGCUCAACUCGGAAACUGCCUUUGAUACUAUCAAUCUUGAAUAUUGUGGAGGUUAGCGGAAUAUGUCAUGUAGCGGUGAAAUGCUUAGAUAUGACAUAGAACACCAAUUGCGAAGGCAGCUGGCUACACAUAUAUUGACACUGAGGCACGAAAGCGUGGGGAUCAAACAGGAUUAGAUACCCCAGUAGUCC